UUCACACCCAUUUCUUACAAACCUCUCUCUCUCUCUCUCUCUCUCUCUCUCUUCACUUAUUCCUCUUCACAAAAAAUAACCCAUGGUUUGAUCAUCCAUCCUCCUUUCCAACCUCAACCCCGCCUGCCUCCGGUCUCAGCCCGAUGAAGACGAAGAUGGAGACAAAGGCAGAGAAAUACCAUCCUCCAUCUGAAUGAGAAAUAGAGGGGAAGGAGAAUAUUACUCCGAUUGGCUCAAAGAUCACAGAUCACAUGCGACAAGCUGGGGAUGUUUGUUUCUCCCAAGUCUUCCGUGAGAAUGGUAGAUUUUUAGUUUGAGGAUUGGGUUUAACAGUUUGUUGUGAUUGUAUCCGAACAGCUUGUGGUUUAGCCUUUUAUCCGUGGUGGGAAGUAAUAUAGUAUGGGUGAGAGUUAUUAUGUGCUCUUGUUUUUACUAUGGUGGGAAGAUUAGCCGCUAAACGAUAAAAAAAAAUCCAUUCGUGUAACUAAUUUGGUUGCUUAUGGAAAAUCAUUGUUGCUAA